AGUGAACGCUGGCGGUAGGCCUAACACAUGCAAGUCGAACGGCAGCACAGUAAGAGCUUGCUCUUACGGGUGGCGAGUGGCGGACGGGUGAGGAAUACAUCGGAAUCUACUUUUUCGUGGGGGAUAACGUAGGGAAACUUACUCUAAUACCGCAUACGACCUACGGGUGAAAGCAGGGGAUCUUCGGACCUUGCGCGAUUGAAUGAGCCGAUGUCGGAUUAGCUAGUUGGCGGGGUAAAGGCCCACCAAGGCGACGAUCCGUAGCUGGUCUGAGAGGAUGGUCAGCCACACUGGAACGGAGACACGGUCCAGACUCCUACGGGAGGCAGCAGUGGGGAAUAUUGGACAAUGGGCGCAAGCCUGAUCCAGCCAUACCGCGUGGGUGAAGAAGGCCUUCGGGUUGUAAAGCCCUUUUGUUGGGAAAGAAAAGCAGCAGGUUAAUACCCCGCUGUUCUGACGGUACCCAAAGAAUAAGCACCGGCUAACUUCGUG
rnacentral:rRNA from 1 species